rnacentral:rRNA from 1 species
UACGUAGGGUGCAAGCGUUGUCCGGAAUUAUUGGGCGUAAAGAGCUCGUAGGCGGUCUGUCGCGUCUGCUGUGAAAACUCAGGGCUUAACCCUGAGCUUGCGGUGGAUACGGGCAGACUUGAGUUCGGUAGGGGAGACUGGAAUUCCUGGUGUAGCGGUGAAAUGGGCAGAUAUCAGGAGGAACACCGGUGGCGAAGGCGGGUCUCUGGGCCGAUACUGGCGCUGAGGAGCGAAAGCGUGGGGAGCGAACAGG